rnacentral:rRNA from 1 species
CUCCGUUGGUGAACCAGCGGAGGGAUCAUUACCGAGUUUACAACUCCCAAACCCCUGUGAACAUACCUUACUGUUGCCUCGGCGGAUCAGCCCGCUCCCGGUAAAACGGGACGGCCCGCCAGAGGACCCCUAAACUCUGUUUCUAUAUGUAACUUCUGAGUAAAACCAUAAAUAAAUCAAAACUUUCAACAACGGAUCUCUUGGUUCUGGCAUCGAUGAAGAACGCAGCAAAAUGCGAUAAGUAAUGUGAAUUGCAGAAUUCAGUGAAUCAUCGAAUCUUUGAACGCACAUUGCGCCCGCCAGUAUUCUGGCGGGCAUGCCUGUUCGAGCGUCAUUUCAACCCUCAAGCCCUCGGGUUUGGUGUUGGGGAUCGGCGAGCCUUUCUGGCAAGCCGGCCCCGAAAUCUAGUGGCGGUCUCGCUGCAGCCUCCAUUGCGUAGUAGUAAAACCCUCGCAACUGGAACGCGGCGCGGCCAAGCCGUUAAACCCCCAACUUCUGAAUGUUGACCUCGGAUCAGGUAGGAAUACCCGCUGAACUUAAGCAUAUCUAUAAAGCGGGA